rnacentral:rRNA from 1 species
CGCUGGCGGCGUGCCUAAUACAUGCCAGUCGAACGCUUUUUCUUUCACCGGAGCUUGCUCCACCGAAAGAAAAAGAGUGGCGAACGGGUGAGUAACACGUGGGUAACCUGCCCAUCAGAAGGGGAUAACACUUGGAAACAGGUGCUAAUACCGUAUAACACUAUUUUCCGCAUGGAAGAAAGUUGAAAGGCGCUUAUGCGUCACUGAUGGAUGGACCCGCGGUGCAUUAGCUAGUUGGUGAGGUAACGGCUCACCAAGGCAACGAUGCAUAGCCGACCUGAGAGGGUGAUCGGCCACACUGGGACUGAGACACGGCCCAGACUCCUACGGGAGGCAGCAGUAGGGAAUCUUCGGCAAUGGACGAAAGUCUGACCGAGCAACGCCGCGUGAGUGAAGAAGGUUUUCGGAUCGUAAAACUCUGUUGUUAGAGAAGAACAAGGAUGAGAGUAAAAUGUUCAUCCCUUGACGGUAUCUAACCAGAAAGCCACGGCUAACUACGUGCCAGCAGCCGCGGUAAUACGUAGGUGGCAAGCGUUGUCCGGAUUUAUUGGGCGUAAAGCGAGCGCAGGCGGUUUCUUAAGUCUGAUGUGAAAGCCCCCGGCUCAACCGGGGAGGGUCAUUGGAAACUGGGAGACUUGAGUGCAGAAGAGGAGAGUGGAAUUCCAUGUGUAGCGGUGAAAUGCGUAGAUAUAUGGAGGAACACCAGUGGCGAAGGCGGCUCUCUGGUCUGUAACUGACGCUGAGGCUCGAAAGCGUGGGGAGCGAACAGGAUUAGAUACCCUGGUAGUCCACGCCGUAAACGAUGAGUGCUAAGUGUUGGAGGGUUUCCGCCCUUCAGUGCUGCAGCAAACGCAUAAUGCACUCCGCUCUGG